rnacentral:rRNA from 1 species
CCUACGGGUGGCAGCAGUGGGGAAUAUUGGACAAUGGGCGAAAGCCUGAUCCAGCCAUGCCGCGUGUGUGAAGAAGGCCUUCGGGUUGUAAAGCACUUUCAGUGGGGAAGAAAGCCUUGGGGCUAAUACCCUCGAGGAAGGACAUCACCCACAGAAGAAGCACCGGCUAACUCCGUGCCAGCAGCCGCGGUAAUACGGAGGGUGCGAGCGUUAAUCGGAAUUACUGGGCGUAAAGCGCGCGUAGGCGGUCUGAUAAGCCGGUUGUGAAAGCCCCGGGCUCAACCUGGGAACGGCAUCCGGAACUGUCAGGCUAGAGUGCAGGAGAGGAAGGUAGAAUUCCCGGUGUAGCAGUGAAAUGCGUAGAGAUCGGGAGGAAUACCAGUGGCGAAGGCGGCCUUCUGGACUGACACUGACGCUGAGGUGCGAAAGCGUGGGUAGCAAACAGGAUUAGAUACCCCUGUAAUC